UACAGAGGUCUCAACCGUUGUUCGGAUUCAUUGGGCGUAAAGGGUGCGUAGGCGGCGGGGUAAGUCAGGUGUGAAAUCUCGGGGCUCAACCCCGAAACUGCACUUGAUACUGCCUCGCUUGAGUACUGGAGAGGAGACUGGAAUUUACGGUGUAGCAGUGAAAUGCGUAGAUAUCGUAAGGAAGACCAGUGGCGAAGACGAGUCUCUAGACAGUUACUGACGCUGAGGCACGAAGGCCAGGGGAGCAAACGGG
rnacentral:rRNA from 1 species